UUUACUACCUAUGAGCAGACUUGAUGGUGAACAGAGCAGCACGUGUGGAGUGAGAGCGAGGACUGCCUGCCUUUCUUGCAGCUAGCACAGGAUUACAUCUCCUCCUGCGGCAAGAAGACGCUCCAUGAAGUUUUGGAAAAAGUCUUCAAGUCUUUCAGACCGUUGCUGGGGCUUCCAGAUGCAGAUGACGAUGCAUUUGAAGAGUACAGUGCAGAUGUGGAAGAGGAGGAGCCAGAGGCAGACCACCCCCAAAUGGGGGUCAGUCAGCAGUAAACGUCCGAGGGCUCCCACUGGAGAAAGAAAGUGAGCCCCGCCAUCCCCCUUGCGUGCUCCUGGGGUAACAUUUUGCAUUAGUACUUCGAAAUAGGACGUCUGGCUCCCAGCAUCCAAAUUAAAAUGAAAUACCUUUUUAACGACCACAAAAUAUCUGUGAUGAGCUUUGCUCAGAAGUGACCUGAAUUUCACUCCCGCUUCAGUGGGGUUUCUAUGGAGUUGUCUUGGUAGCCUUUGCCAUUUUGAAUUUAGAGUCCAUUUUGUGGCCGACUGUUCUCUCUUGAGUUUAUGUUGGAGAAUUAACAUUCGCUGACUCGAAUGUAGAGAACUCUGAAUGUACUAAGGAUAUGUUUUGAGUCCUCACAGGUGACCUUACUGAGGGAAAGCAUGGCAGAGAAGAAAUGCAGUCUGCACUUUUUCUGUACUUUUUCAGUGUCUGUAAGUGAAAGGUUUUGCUUAUCAAGCAUGAGUUUUCAUAUCUAGUUAUUAAACUGCACAAGUGCAGGAAAGGAUAAUCACUUAGCUUUGGAUUAAGAGGGUGAGAGAGGCCAAGAAGCCUUGAAGUGUUUUGCCAUUACUAAGUUACCUGGUGUGUAGCAACUGGUUCAUGGUUAGGUGUAAAUGUUACUUGCUUGUUCAGUUGUUUCAAAACAUGCUAAUUCCAAAGCCACUUGUAAAGUCUAAUAGUGGAAAAUAUAAAUGGGGUGAAAGACAUAAAUUAUUGAUUUAUUUAAAAUGUUUCUAAACCGUCCCACAUAUGAAAUGAAACCUUUACCUUCUCUCUUUAUAAUGAGAUGGCAACUUGUUAAAUCAUGAAGACAUCCAGAAUCCAAGUGCCACUUUAAACUUUGAAGCCAUAGAUAAAUUUAAUAGGAAAACAAACCAGGAUACAAAGCUUUUUUAAAUAUAAUGGAAUCCUUCUUUACUUUCUUAAUCUUUUAUUUUAAAAAAGUCAAGAAAAAGUUUCCAUUGUGUAAUUUAUUUAAAAAUUGUAAUCAAGUACCUCGAGGAACCUAAUUGCAGUGAAUUUUUAAAGGGACAUGAAAAUAGGAAUCUUUUAAUCUUGGGUUAACUUGGUUUAAAAGGGGUGUUUUAAUGAUCAAGAUACUGACAACUCACAGAAACAACUUCUGUGAUACCCGGAACACUGCUGACAUCAUUUAGCCAAAAUACUUCCUGGGGAAGUCCCUUGUCAUGUUCAUGCGGAAUUAUUUGAAACAUUCAUUUUCUUGGACCCUUCCACAUCUCUGGUUCUGAUAACUUAGGAUGUGGUUGCUUCCUUUGCUACACCUGUCUAAGCCUAGCCUAUGGGGCGGGAGUGUUUUUAGCAUGCGCACACGUGCCUGUUAAGUUGUCACAGUUUUGAAUUUAAAAACAAGCAGCAGCAGCAGAGGCCACAGAACCUGCGGGAGUCUUGUAUAUCUUCCAGGCAUGUCGGUGUAAACUUGAUUGUGUCAACAUGUUCUGUUUAAUUGAUUGGUGCUAUGUGAGGAGUUUGGCCACUCGUUUUGGUGAAACAGCAUCCUGCAGUUUUAAGUCUUCGGGUAAAACAAUACCACUGUGGUUUCCAUCUGUGCUUCAGUACUCACAUUAUUUUCUUAGAGAAACAUAUUAAAGGUUAAUUUCUAGUAAAAUGAAUUUCCUUACGAGUAGCCUAUUAGCAAAACCAACCUUAGUGUUUCAUCCAUUGGGGUAAACGCAUUCGGCCCUUUGCUGCAACCCUGCCUGGGUCCUGUCUCCAUUUACAAGCAAUUGUGAGCUGUAAGUUACAUAGCUGUUGCCCAGGUUUGGUAACCUCCAUUUUGACACAAUAAGCCGCAAGGCUGACUUCUGCAACGGAAAUGAAAAAGCUUGACUAGCUUGCUCAUUGGAAGAUAAACUGGAAUUUUAUGCAUAGAGGCUUAAAAUUUAAAUUUACAUGUGUUUGGAAAUGGAAUGGACAUUAGCAUAAAAUUUAUUUUGUCAAAAAAAGUGUUUAGACAUUGACCAAAUACAGGUCGGUAUUAUCAUGUUAAUGUUCUCUGUUUAUAAAAAUGGAGCUGAGCUGGACCCAGUCAUUCAGUGGGCUGAUGAGAAUCCUGGUCUUUGUUCCACCCUAGUCAGGGCUAGGGGACAGAGGACAUGGCUGUGUGGUACUUAUUUUCCAUGACAAAACCACCAAAGACAUUAACAAAUCGAAUGGUCUCCCCUAAAGCAUCCUUCUCUGUGGUUGUGUGCACACCCCUCCCCGUGUUCACACACACAUGCGCACACAGUACUUCCUGCACGUGGAUCCUCCUGUCAGGGCUGUGCACAGUGCAGAGCUCUGCCUAGGCAGCCUGUGAUUGCUAUUAGGGAAAUGGUUCCACGAUGAAAAGAGCUCCUGACCAUUCACAAACACACAUACCCACUCACCAGGGGCAGCAGGUGUGGUGGGAGGAGCAUCAACUUGGGAAAUAGGAAAGACACCUGGCUUCUGUCCUGAGUCAGCCAUUGACAUCGAGCUUGUUGACAAAUUGGUUAUUUGCCUUGACAAAAUACCUAGUCUGUGAAGAAAUGUUGGCCCUUCCAGCUAUAAACACUGUCCUUCUUUACCUGCCCACGUGUGUAUAUAAGGAGCAACAGUCCAGGAGACUUUUGGGGAUAGGAGAAGGAAAUACAUCUGGAAUCUUGUCAAGAUGCCAUCUCUAGGAUGCUGGCCCCGGGACCCCCUUAGAACAUGUUGGUUCGUGAGUGUCCAAGUCCCCUAGAGCCUGAACCUGUGGGGCUGAUGAAAUUCUGUUCCUUAGAGAGGGUGAAGUGAGCCCCAGGAGGCUUUCUUGUCUCAACUGUGUAUGCCCCGCCUGUGGAAGGCUUGGCUUUUCUUUGUGUCCUGGCUGAUGGGGGCUUAAAGUGGUGUAUGUUUAACUUAACUGAGUGGGGAGAUCUACUUGAAGACUAGCUGGAAGACUGAAAGAUGAGUACUAGGACUUUUUGCCAUGCCAUCCAAUAGAGAGAAAGUAACAGUGGAAGUCAAGAGAGUGAGAGGGAAAGUUGUGUGUGCACGCAUAUGUGCGUGUGCCUGUGUGAGAGAGAAUGGGGAACACUUGGUUGCCUACUGAUCAUUGGGCCAGCUGUGGAAUCAAAUCACGCCUUUGAUGACAUUAUAAAAGCAUGGUCCUGGAAUUGAAGGAAUCAUGCAGGUGUUGUUCUUGUGGCUACCUGGUGACUUUUCUCUACCUGAUAAUCAUACUGAGCAGCCUUCAGGAAAUCAGAGAAAAUUAUGGAGCCAGGGAGGGAGGUGAGACCCCACAUAGUGCCUGUCACCACCAUGGAUUCCGUCGCACUAAGGUGUCCACUCAUAUCUCCCAGGCCCAAAGCAAUGUGGUCUGUUUUGUGUUUUUUCAGCUACAGCAUGAAAAGUCUCUUGUGUAGGGACUCUCCUUGUGUCCUGGUGCCAGAGUUAGGUUUCCAGUGUGCUUACGUGAAAACUUUCCUCUAGUAGUUUGUCAUUUUUCAUCUGUAGACUGAAAGCAUUGUCUAGCACAAUAUGUCUCCAAAUAUUGUUUCUGUUUUAUAAGAGCACAAAGUAUAUGGACCUGAGGGAGCUGGGGUUCCAAGUGUCAUGGAAAUUUAUAGUUUAGGAGUAUGCUUUGCGUGUUAAAAUUCUCACAUUGGGAACUGUGGUGUGAACAAAUGUGAUUUCCCACAGACAGAGGCGUGAAGGAAUAAGCAGGACCUAAUUUGGGCUGGGAAAGGUGGACAAGGAGAAUGGCGGAGUUAGGAUCUGACAGUUAGUUACCACAUGAGACCCAGGAAAAUGGUUUUCAUGGGUGUCUCGCUAGGAGUCGCUUUCCUCCAAGAGACUGACUGUGUGUUGUGAGGCAAGGCCUUGUGCUGGCAGUGGCUUUGUGACUUUAAAAAUGCGCGCACCAAGGAGCUCUUUUCCUUGAUAAAAUCCACUGCCAGCUAGAGAAGCCUGUUGUUCCCACAUGCGAGCACAUCCAAGGGGGGCCCUAUCACCUGGCAGGUAGAACAUGAGCCAAGCUUCGGUCUCCCUGGCAGCUAGGAGGAGGCAGAAUGCCCUUUGGGGGCAGAGGGCAGGGCCCACCUACUCCUGAAAUGUACUUCAAGGUUGUAGAAAGAGCACAAUUAAAAUUCAAGGGAUCUCAGGCCCUCUUCCCUACAGUGAGUGUUAACUCCAGAGAGCGAGUGUUAACUCCAGAGAGCUGCAUUGCUGAUUGCUUAGUUUUCAGAGAAGCCUAACAAGUUUUUUGAAUUAAAACGAAUCCUCUUUCAUAAAGACCCAGUCAGUUCUGGUUUUGUGGUAACAGGUAUGACCCAAGAAGCUGGUCUUUUUUAGAGUGAUUCUAAAACUUACCAGAAUGCCAGUAGCCUGUGGUGUCCAUGGCAAUGUAGUGUCCAUGGCAAAAUAUCUGUAGCUCCUGCUCCCAGGGCAAAUUAUUCAAGAAUAUGUUGUCUUUUAUAUUUUUAUUUAAAUCUGGGUUAUAAAAACAGAGUAACUGUAAGCAUUCCAUGUUCAAAACCCCAUUUAAAGCACUGUAAGGCUGAAAAGGCACAAGCCAUUAAAAGUGUGUGCCAGGCCACAUAAAAACAAACAUUUAAUGUGCUUAGAACAGUAUUCAAGUUGUUUGGUACCAGAGAAGAAGCUGACAGUCUGUUCUUUGUAAACUGCCUUUUCCUGUUUUGUUUUGUUUUGUUUUGUUUCUCAAGAUUCAUUUAUUCCCCCCUCGGCACCUUCUAAUAUCCAGGCAGAUAAAGAGCAGUGAAGGGCUCUGUUCAAAUGUCAGCUUUUAAGAGGAGGAGGAAAAUCUUCAAUGCUAGGGCAGAUCUGAACUGUCUGAUCCAGUCUUAAUUUGUGUAUGAGCGCAAAACUUAGCCAUCUAUACAAGAAGCAAAAGCAAGGAGCAGUUGUUGGGGUUUUUUUUAAAGGCAAGAAAUGUUUCGUGUAGGAUGUGUGUGCUUUCUUUGCCUUCAUAAUUCUUUUCAAAGAAAUCUCUUGUAAAUUACAAAACUGUGAAAUGGGUUGCCAAAAACUGUUGCCCUUCGUUAGAUGCUUCGAACAGUGUAAAUCCUGUAUGGAAUCCUGUCCCCAUCUGCUCCCUCCUCAUGAGCGUGAGGACCUCAUCAACGAUGUAAUUACCAUACGCUUGCUAUUAAAGAGGCUUCCAAACUCA